UACGUAGGGGGCAAGCGUUGUCCGGAAUCAUUGGGCGUAAAGCGCGUGUAGGCGGCCCGGUAAGUCCGCUGUAAAAGUCCAGGGCUCAACCCUGGAAGGCCGGUGGAUACUGUCGGGCUCGAGUCCGGAAGAGGCGAGUGGAAUUCCUGGUGUAGCGGUGAAAUGCGCAGAUAUCAGGAAGAACACCAAUGGCGAAGGCAGCUCGCUGGGACGCGACUGACGCUGAGACGCGAAAGCGUGGGGAGCAAACAGG
rnacentral:rRNA from 1 species